rnacentral:misc_RNA from 1 species
CAAUGAGUGUUUUAUGGCACUUUGUUGCUUUGGCAGGCCUGCCCUCGGGCUGCUGGCUCCGGCCGGCGAGCGCUUGCCAGAGGACCUAAACUCUGUUUGUCUAUACUGUCUGAGUACUAUAUAAUAGUUA